UACGAAGGGGGGCUAGCGUUGUUCGGAAUCACUGGGCGUAAAGCGCUCGUAGGCGGAUCUUUAAGUCAGGGGUGAAAUCCCGGGGCUCAACCUCGGAACUGCCUUUGAUACUGCGAAUCUCGAGUCCGAUAGAGGUGGGUGGAAUUCCUAGUGUAGAGGUGAAAUUCGUAGAUAUUAGGAAGAACACCGGUGGCGAAGGCGGCCCACUGGAUCGGUACUGACGCUGAGGUGCGAAAGCGUGGGGAGCAAACAGG
rnacentral:rRNA from 1 species